UGCCUUCUAAGCUCAGUUGGUAGAGUACCCGCUUAGACUAAGCGGCCUCCCGCUUACUAAACUGCUUACUAAGCGGGAGCUCGUCGGUUUAACUCUGGCGGAAGCCU